rnacentral:rRNA from 1 species
GACGAACGCUGGCGGCGUGCCUAAUACAUGCAAGUCGAACGCAGUGGGGACGGGUGAGUAACACGUGGGUAACCUCCCAUCAGAGGGGAUAACACUGGGAAACAGGUGCUAAACCGAUACUGAUGGAUGAACCCGCUGUGCAUUAGCUAGUUGGUGAGGUAAAGGCUCACCAAGGCGACGAUGCAUAGCCGGCCUGAGAGGAUGAUCGGCCACACUGGAACUGAGACACGGCCCAGACUCCUACGGGAGGCAGCAGUGGGGAAUCUUCGGCAAUGGACGAAAGUCUGACCGAGCCACGCCGCGUGAGUGAAGAAGGUUUUCGGAUCGUAAAGCUCUGUUGUUAGAGAAGCGUUAUCUAUCCAGAAAGCCACGGCUAACUACGUGCCAGCCGCCGCGGUAAUUC